UCUCCGUAGGUGAACCUGCGGAGGGAUCAUUACAGAGUUCUCGCCCUCACGGGUAGAUCUCCCACCCACUGUUUUCGUUACUGUCGUUUCUUUGGCGGGCCGCCGGGUCCCCGGCCGCCGGCGCCUAGCUGCCGGCGCGCGCCCGCCAGAGGCCUUCAAACUCUGAAUGUUAGUGUCGUCUGAGUACUAUAUAAUAGUUAAAACUUUCAACAACGGAUCUCUUGGUUCUG
rnacentral:misc_RNA from 1 species